rnacentral:misc_RNA from 1 species
AAGAAAUAAUCUCAAAGGCCCGAGGAAAGGAGAGAGGGUUGUAGCUGGCCUUCAUCGGCACGUGCACGCUCUCUUUCUCGACCUAGGCCUUAUGGGCGCGGGGCAACCCGCGUCUUCAUAAGCCCCUUCGUGUAGAAAGUCUAUGAAUGUUUUUACUAUCAUCGAGUCGCGACUUCUAGGAGACGCGGUUCUUUGAGACAAAAGUUUAUUA